UUGUUUCAUAUAUGAAAUGUCAACAAUAAGCCCAUAGCUUAAAUGUAAAAAUGUCUCUGGUUCAUAGGGAGUAUACUGGAGCCGAACUGCUGUUUAAAUCUACACACCUUCCAGCCUGUCCCCUGUCUGCAGAGUGUGGGUGUGCCAUGCCAGCUUUUCUAGCUAAUGAGCUCUGAGGAAUCAGUCUGACAACAGGCCCUCAGAAACAGACUUCUCUCUCCCUGUGGAAAGCGCUAAGGUGUGUUAGAGAGUGAGGUUUCCACCUAGUGGGAACAGGAAAACCUAAACAUCAAUGCUACAAGAGCUUGCUAGGAUACAGUACUAAAAAAAAGAAGAAAGAUCUACUCCAUGUCAAUCUCUGAUGAAACACUUGGGGCGGAUGACGUGCUGACGUCAUCGCUACCAACUAGUUCCGGAAGCGCGGACGUUCUUGAGUUAAUGUCGGCCGGCGACUUCUAUGCAUUUUUUAACUAUGACAAUGUGAGUGUUAUUCUACUUCUUCUAUAAUAAAUGGCACGUGGAACAUUUUUUACCGUUGAGCCCGACAUCACGGACA